rnacentral:rRNA from 1 species
UACGUAGGGUGCUAGCGUUGUCCGGAUUUAUUGGGCGUAAAGAGCUCGUAGGCGGUUUGUCGCGUCUGCCGUGAAAGUCCGGGGCUCAACUCCGGAUCUGCGGUGGGUACGGGCAGACUAGAGUGAUGUAGGGGAGACUGGAAUUCCUGGUGUAGCGGUGAAAUGCGCAGAUAUCAGGAGGAACACCGAUGGCGAAGGCAGGUCUCUGGGCAUUAACUGACGCUGAGGAGCGAAAGCAUGGGGAGCGAACAGG